GGACCAGUUCCACAAGGUCAACCCAGAUGCAGAACGGUUGCAGUGGUUAGAUCCAAAACAUCCCCGGCGUGGCCUUCAUUUAUAAGGCAAAUCCCCUGACUCCCUGGUUGCCAGCAUUCCCUUUCUUACGUAAUGAACAGCGGAAGAAAUGUUAUGCAUGGUUCUGGAACAUCAUUUGUAUAUCGAAAUACUUCGGCCUAUCAUUGGAAAUCUGACAACCGAAAUGUGAGCUCUAAGCCUUGUGAGGCAGUGAGCCCUUAUUAUGGUACCUUCAUUUUCCAGAUGAAGGAACACGGCGUCAAGAGGACUGACCAUUGAUGUUCUCUGUGGGUGGCAGGCAGAUUUGACAUCCUUCUUCUCCAGUGAUUUUCCAGAGUGAUGAAGCUACCUAUUAAAGAAUGCUUUUCAAAAAGCCUGUCUUGGAGGCAAUCAGUUGCUUUCCACUGGCUGUCAGAAGUGGAUGAUGAAUGCAAACUUCAUACCUUUAUGAAAAGGGUACGAACACAGAAAGUGCUGUUGAAGGAUUGUGUGGUCUGGAUCAGUGAUGAGAACAGGAAACAAGAUUUCCCCAUCAAGUAGGCUGUCUUGACCUAUAGCUGUGUCUGCCUGCCACCUAAUAAGGGACAUUGCUGUUAUAGAUCAAAGAAAACUGGAGAAAAGAACACAAAUUUGUUGUGUUCAAGGUUGCAUUGCAGAUGCUGUCUGAGUGUUAACAACUUGGUUAUUGGGGGGAAAGGGAGGAUAUUCCCAGACUGAAACUACUAUGCCUUAUCAUCUGGGACCCAAAAGAGCUAGUAGAAUUGCAAAUUUUCAGUCUUUCUGAAGAAGGCACCACGUGAUAAUGUGUUAUAAGGAAGCCCCUGAACAAAGAAGGUAAGAAACCCAGGACCACAGUGCUCAAAACAUCAUUGUGUCUCUGAAGAAAGCACAUACUAAGCAAACUAAGGACAAGCCUUUAGAAUGAUAUGCUUUUGGCCAAGGGAAUGAAGGAAACCAAAGAAAAAUGCCAGAAACAGACUUCUGAGGCAUAGAGGCUGACCCUUCUGGGUGCUUCUACCUCUAGGUCUGAGUCUAGUCAAAAACAGGACUUUUCUAAGAAUAACAAAUUAAUAACAUCAGACAUUACAAAAGAUUAAAUGAGAUUUUAAAAAAAUACAUGAAUAUAUUUCACUACAAAAAGAUCUUGAAAAUGAUAUUUCUAGUUCCUGAAAAGGCGCCCUCACAUAAUGGUCAUAGCGCUCAAAUGGGUCAGAGAAAGAAAGACAGAUUUUCUUUCUUUAACCUGCUUUCCAUAGUACUUCUGGCUUUCCUGGGUCUCUCUCAUCUUCUCUGGUUCUCAUGCCCUCUCUCAUAUUUUCCUCCAGGGAUCCCUUUCUUUCUCUUUUUUGAGGGGUCAGCUGCUCAGCCCCAACCAAUAAACAAUAAUAAUAAUGAAAUCACCUCUCUGUAAAUCUCAGUUCAUGCCAUCGAGUGCAUGCUCCUGUCUGUGAUUUUAUUUCUAAUUUCCUUCAAUUACCAAUGUCUCUUUUUGAAGGGUCUCCUCUGUGAGGGACACACUGUGAUGAAGUGCAGGGUAGCAGAGCACACCCGAAAACCCACUCAUCAUCAUAGCUCAUCCCGAGACAAGCUGCUUUCAGUGGUAGGGCAUCUGGUUGAAUAUGAUUCUUUUGACAAGACUGUCGAUGGAUUGAGGAAGGGAGGAGCUCUGAGAAGAUCUCUCUCUGGGUUUCUAUUCAGGGUGAACCUCCAACCAGUCUCAGAACAAGGUACUUUUAGCAUCACAUUGCUUUCAAACCUUAAGAGAACAUUUCUACAUGGAAAGCUGGAGUGUCUGUGACUCAGAAGGCAUUCCCUUUUGAUUGUGAAUAAAGAGUGUAAAGAAUGGAUUCUUAUGUGCAAGGCAAAGUUGUAGGUAGGAAUUGUCCCCAAACUUGGAAUGUAUAUUGGUACAGCCACUAUGGAGAACAGUAUGGAAGUUACCUAAAAACCUAAAAAUAGAGACAUCAUAUGAUUCUGAAAAUUCACUCCUGAGCAUAAAUCCAGAAAAAACUGUAAUUCGAAAAGAUACAUGUACUUCAACCUUCACAGCAGCACUAUUUACAAAGGCCAAGAUACAGAAGCAACCUAGAUGUCCAUCAACAUCUAGAUGGAUAAAGAGGUGUGGUAUUUAUACAUACAGCGAAAGACUAUUCAGCCAUAAGAAAAGAGUAAAUAAUGCUAUUUGCAGCAACAUGGGUGGACCUAGAGAUUAUUAUACUAAGUGAAGUAA
rnacentral:lncRNA from 1 species